rnacentral:rRNA from 1 species
AGGCUUGAUCCUGGCUCAGGACGAACGCUGGCGGCGUGCCUAACACAUGCAAGUCGACCGGAGAUAUGAUUUCGGNNNNNNNNNNNAGUGGCGAACGGGUGAGUAACGCGUGAGCAACCUGACUCUUAGAGCGGGAUAACACUCGGAAACGAGUGCUAAUACCGCAUAAGACCACGACAUGGCAUCAUGACGAGGUCAAAGGAGCAAUCCGCUGAGAGAGGGGCUCGCGUCCCAUUAGAUAGAUGGCGGGGUAACGGCCCACCAUGUCAACGAUGGGUAGCCGAGCUGAGAGGCUGAUCGGCCACACUGGAACUGAGACACGGACCAGACUCCUACGGGAGGCAGCAGUGAGGCAUAUUGGUCAAUGGCCGGAAGGCUGAACCAGCCAUGCCGCGUGAGGGAAGAAGGUUUUCGGAUUGUAAAACUCUGUCUUUGGGGACGAACAAGGUGACGGUACCAGAGGAGGAAGCCCCGGCUAACUACGUGCCAGCAGCCGCGGUAAUACGUAGGGGGCGAGCGUUGUCCGGAAUUACUGGGCGUAAAGGGUGCGUAGGUGGCUGAUCAAGCCAGGGGUGAAAGGCAAUAGCUUAACCUUGGGACUGCUCCUGAAACUGGUAGACUUGAGUGCAGGAGAGGGAAGUGGAAUUCCUAGUGUAGCGGUGAAAUGCGUAGAUAUUAGGAGGAACACCAGUGGCGAAGGCGGCUUUCUGGACUGUAACUGACACUGAGGCACGAAAGCGUGGGGAGCAAACAGGAUUAGAUACCCUGGUAGUCCACGCUGUAAACGAUGGAUACUAGGUGUGGGAGGUAUCGACCCCUUCCGUGCCGCAGUAAACGCAAUAAGUAUCCCGCCUGGGGAGUACGGCCGCAAGGUUGAAACUCAAAGGAAUUGACGGGGGCCCGCACAAGCAGCGGAGCAUGUGGUUUAAUUCGAAGCAACGCGAAGAACCUUACCAAGGCUUGACAUCCCUUGACCGCCAUGGAAACAUGGUUUCCCUUCGGGGCAGAUAGACAGGUGGUGCAUGGUUGUCGUCAGCUCGUGUCGUGAGAUGUUGGGUUAAGUCCCGCAACGAGCGCAACCCUUAUCGUUAGUUGCCAGCAGGUUAAGCUGGGCACUCUAAAGAGACUGCCGGGGAUAACUCGGAGGAAGGUGGGGAUGACGUCAAAUCAUCAUGCCCCUUAUGACCUGGGCUACACACGUGCUACAAUGGCUACUACAAAGAGGAGCAAGCCCGCAAGGGGGAGCGGAUCUGAGAAAAGUAGUCCCAGUUCGGAUCGUGGGCUGCAACCCGCCCACGUGAAGUCGGAGUUGCUAGUAAUCGCGAAUCAGCAUGUCGCGGUGAAUACGUUCCCGGGUCUUGUACACACCGCCCGUCACACCAUGGGAGUUGGGAGCACCCAAAGCCAGCGAGGUAACCGCAAGGAGCCAGCUGUCCAAGGUGAGACCAAUGACUGGGGUGAAGUCGUAACAAGGUAACC